UUGUGGAGGAGGACGCCGAAGGUGGGGCUAAUGACUGGGGUGAAGUCGUAACAAGGUAGCCGUACCGGAAGGUGCGGCUGGAUCACCUCCUAACAGGGAGACAACAAAAUGUUAAAUAUUAAUUUUGUCACCUUAGGUCGAUCGGUAUCUCAGAUUUUUGAUUUAAUUAAGAAUUUCAGUUUCUAAGUUUUUUCUAGGUCACACCCAUCACUUUUUCCUGGGCCAUUAGCUCAGGUGGUUAGAGCGCACCCCUGAUAAGGGUGAGGUCCCUGGCUCAAGUCCAGGAUGGCCCAUAUCUCUUUGUUGGGGGUAUGGCUCAGUUGGUAGAGCGCCUGCUUUGCAAGCAGGAUGUCAGCGGUUCGAGUCCGCUUACCUCCACUGAAUACCGCCUCUUACAUAGUUUUUGAUAUGAGGAAAAAUUGUUUUGAGUUGUGUCCUAAUUUGCUCUGAUUGAAUCUAGCUUCCUAUUUUAAACAAUAAGAUGCUGGACUCAUUGAAUUUUAUUCAUUGUUUUCAGAGAACCUUGACAACUGCAUAGAUUAUUUUGAAGACAAUAAGCAUCUUUAAUGAUGCAGAUUUAUUAUUUUUGCUAAUGCAUUAAAUAACAAUUCUAUUAAGCUGAUGCUUCAAUUAUUUUGAAGUUAUUGGUCAAGCUACAA
rnacentral:misc_RNA from 1 species